rnacentral:rRNA from 1 species
GAUCCUGGCUCAGGAUGAACGCUAGCUACAGGCUUAACACAUGCAAGUCGAGGGGCAGCAUGGUCUUAGCUUGCUAAGACUGAUGGCGACCGGCGCACGGGUGAGUAACACGUAUCCAACCUGCCGUCUACUCUUGGACAGCCUUCUGAAAGGGAGAUUAAUACAAGAUGGCAUCAUGAGUCCGCAUGUUCACAUGAUUAAAGGUAUUCCGGUGGACGAUGGGGA